rnacentral:rRNA from 1 species
GACGAACGCUGGCGGCGUGCUUAACACAUGCAAGUCGAACGAUGAAGCCUAGCUUGCUAGGUGGAUUAGUGGCGAACGGGUGAGUAAUACGUGAGUAACCUACCUUUAACUCUGGGAUAAGCCUGGGAAACCGGGUCUAAUACCGGAUACGACCAAUCUCCGCAUGGUGUGUUGGUGGAAAGCGUUAUGUAGUGGUUAUAGAUGGGCUCACGGCCUAUCAGCUUGUUGGUGAGGUAACGGCUCACCAAGGCGACGACGGGUAGCCGGCCUGAGAGGGUGACCGGCCACACUGGGACUGAGACACGGCCCAGACUCCUACGGGAGGCAGCAGUGGGGAAUAUUGCACAAUGGGCGCAAGCCUGAUGCAGCGACGCCGCGUGAGGGAUGACGGCCUUCGGGUUGUAAACCUCUGUUAGCAGGGAAGAAGAGAGAUUGACGGUACCUGCAGAGAAAGCGCCGGCUAACUACGUGCCAGCAGCCGCGGUAAUACGUAGGGCGCGAGCGUUGUCCGGAAUUAUUGGGCGUAAAGAGCUUGUAGGCGGUUUGUCGCGUCUGCUGUGAAGGCCGGGGCUUAACUCCGUGUAUUGCAGUGGGUACGGGCAGACUAGAGUGCAGUAGGGGAGACUGGAAUUCCUGGUGUAGCGGUGGAAUGCGCAGAUAUCAGGAGGAACACCGAUGGCGAAGGCAGGUCUCUGGGCUGUAACUGACGCUGAGAAGCGAAAGCAUGGGGAGCGAACAGGAUUAGAUACCCUGGUAGUCCAUGCCGUAAACGUUGGGCACUAGGUGUGGGGGACAUUCCACGUUUUCCGCGCCGUAGCUAACGCAUUAAGUGCCCCGCCUGGGGAGUACGGCCGCAAGGCUAAAACUCAAAGAAAUUGACGGGGGCCCGCACAAGCGGCGGAGCAUGCGGAUUAAUUCGAUGCAACGCGAAGAACCUUACCAAGGCUUGACAUAUACUGGACCGCAUCAGAGAUGGUGUUUCCCUUCGGGGCUGGUAUACAGGUGGUGCAUGGUUGUCGUCAGCUCGUGUCGUGAGAUGUUGGGUUAAGUCCCGCAACGAGCGCAACCCUCGUUCUAUGUUGCCAGCACGUUAUGGUGGGGACUCAUAGGAGACUGCCGGGGUCAACUCGGAGGAAGGUGGGGAUGACGUCAAAUCAUCAUGCCCCUUAUGUCUUGGGCUUCACGCAUGCUACAAUGGCCGGUACAGAGGGUUGCGAUACUGUGAGGUGGAGCUAAUCCCUAAAAGCCGGUCUCAGUUCGGAUUGGGGUCUGCAACUCGACCCCAUGAAGUCGGAGUCGCUAGUAAUCGCAGAUCAGCAACGCCGCGGUGAAUACGUUCCCGGGCCU